rnacentral:rRNA from 1 species
GAUGGUAGUGUAUUGGACUACCAUGGCUUUCACGGGUAACGGAGGAUUAGGGUUCGAUUCCGGAGAGGGAGCCUGAGAAACGGCUACCACAUCUAAGGAAGGCAGCAGGCGCGUAAAUUACCCAAUCGCGACUCGCGGAGGUAGUGACAAGAAAUAACGGACCGAAGCCUAUGUUUCGGGAUUGCAAUGAGUAGAAUUUAAACCCCUUUACGAGGAUCAAUUGGAGGGCAAGUCUGGUGCCAGCAGCCGCGGUAAUA